CGACUCUCGGCAACGGAUAUCUCGGCUCUCGCAUCGAUGAAGAACGUAGCGAAAUGCGAUACUUGGUGUGAAUUGCAAAAUCCCGUGAACCAUCGAGUCUUUGAACGCAAGUUGCGCCCGAAGCCGUCAGGCCGAGGGCACGCCUGCCUGGGUGUCACG
rnacentral:rRNA from 1 species